rnacentral:rRNA from 2 species
GGGUUGUGAGGUUAAGCGACUAAGCGUACACGGUGGAUGCCCUGGCAGUCAGAGGCGAUGAAGGGCGUGCUAAUCUGCGAUAAGCGCCGGUAAGGUGAUAUGAACCGUUAUAACCGGCGAUACCCGAAUGGGGAAACCCAGUGUGACUCGUCACACUAUCAUUAACUGAAUCCAUAGGUUAAUGAGGCGAACCGGGGGAACUGAAACAUCUAAGUACCCCGAGGAAAAGAAAUCAACCGAGAUUCCCCCAGUAGCGGCGAGCGAACGGGGAGGAGCCCAGAGCCUGAAUCAGCAUGUGUGUUAGUGGAAGCGUCUGGAAAGGCGCGCGAUACAGGGUGACAGCCCCGUACACAAAAGCGCAUGUGCUGUGAGCUCGAUGAGUAGGGCGGGACACGUGGUAUCCUGUCUGAAUAUGGGGGGACCAUCCUCCAAGGCUAAAUACUCCUGACUGACCGAUAGUGAACCAGUACCGUGAGGGAAAGGCGAAAAGAACCCCGGCGAGGGGAGUGAAAAAGAACCUGAAACCGUGUACGUACAAGCAGUGGGAGCACAGGUUUACCUGUGUGACUGCGUACCUUUUGUAU